UUAAAUGACACUUUGCUUAAAUUACAUUUUUAAAUUACAAUUAAAGUACAUCAAACUGGUCCAACAAUGAUAAACAAUUUUCCAUGCAAUUAAGGAUAGUAGUCUACACCAUGUUAUUGUCAAAUGUCCCAACCAGUAAUAUUCCAUUUCUAGUGGAUAAAAUUGCACAAUAUUUUGGAAUUAAUUUUUCUUACAUUCCUCAUCGUAGUACCGUUGAGCAAAUGGCUUGUGAGCUUGGCAGUAUCACUGAUUUGCAAGUAGCAGAAUGGGCCAUCAAUAAUAAUCAUCUCACUCUUGGAUUUGAUGCAACAACGCAAGAAGGUGUUCAUAUAAAACAGCAUUCAUUUAACUUCAAAAAAUCAAUGCCAGGUUGUUGCUAUUGAUCAAUUACCAGGCGGGAAAGCAGUGGAUUAUGCAAAUCAUAUAUGUAAUGUAGUGGAUUAUACUGCCUUAGUUUAUUCAAACUUUCACUUCAACCCUUUGAUGAUUGUAGACGCCUAAUAAUCUCAAAUAUAUCAAACACCAUGUCUGAUAGAGUUUCGGUUAACCAUCUUACAAUCCGAAAAAUUGGUAAGGUCUGGGGUAAAAGUCUAAAUGAGUUAAACUGCCACUUACACCUUCUUGACACAAUUGCUAUUUCAUGUCGAACAGCAUUAAAGUCUUUGGAAAUUGGAAAUUGCCAAUUAUUUGAAAAUGAUUGUGUUGCUGUUAAAAUUGUUUUGGCUAUGAAUAAGAUGAGGUUUAAAGAUGCAAGCGGCGAUCCAAAAUGAUUUGUCAAAUUUUUAAACAAUAACAAAUUACCAAGAGGUAUUAUUCGAAGGUACCGUGGAAACCGUCUACAUAUUCUGUUCCACACUUGUUUUGUUUUUAUAAAACACCACAGUCAAUUUAUGCAAUUUCUGAUUUUCUGAUUUUUUGGAAAAUCUUGAUAACUUUUAUAGAGAAAAAGUAGUUAAAUGGGCUAUUCAAGAAGCGCGUUUAAAACGAAAGAAAACUCGACUUCAGCAUGCUGAAAUUUGAGCUGAAAUUUCUAAAAGGCAGACAGCGAAACACCAAAAAUUAGAUGAAAAAGAAAAAAGAAGGUUAGAGCGACAAUUAUCUCCACUAUCUGUUCGUGAAAUUCAAAAUUUAUUUAAAAACUUGUCUACUAAGCAAAUUGAUGAUUUAAAUGAUGUUAUGUGUGAAAGAAAUGUUGGGAGGAAUCUCUGCCACGAAUGGUAUGAUACAGAUUCAACAAUGACGGUCUUGUAUAAUGGCAGAGUUGAAAACUUAAAAAGACAACAAAAGGCAUCUUUUACACAAUUUCUUACUGGGCUCCAAAUGAAACUUAUACAGAAGCUGUUGACCAUAGCAUGAAAAAAUUCCAGCUGGUUUCUGAUGUUGUAUCAGGCGAGUUAGUAUUUUUGUAAUUUCUUAUCCUAUCUUAUUGUGGAACUUGCAAAAUUAAUAUACAGCAAGAAUUAGAAAUUGCAAAAUAAAGGUUAAACAAGUAGUGGAAUUUUCAUUGUAAAUGUACUGCUAAUAGUGGAACUUGUGAUUUACAGGAAGUAGUGGAACUUGCAAAAUAUAUGUACAGCAAGUAGUGGAACUUGCAACAUAAAUGUACAGCAAGUAGUGGAACUUGCAAAAUAUAUGUACAGCAACUAGUGGAACUUCCAACAUAAAUGUACAGAAUUUUGCAGGCAGUGAAACUUGCAAAAUUAAUGUGCAGCAAGUAGUGGAACUUGCAAUUUUUUUGAUAGACAGUUUUUGGCUUACGUUCACGUCGUGUCCAUUGUUAACAAUGAUUAUUAUACAGUUUCAAUACUGGAAACUUAUCUUAAUCAUUAACUAAAAGCCAAAACAUAUAAUUGUUGUUUGGAAUUAUAUAUAAAUGUAUAAAAAAUUAUUUAGGUCGGAGGGGGGAUUUGACAUUUUCCUCAGCAAAUAUGAAGACUGAUGCAUCUUGUAAUACUACUACUCAAAUAAGGUCAGAGGGGGUAACCGCUACUCCCUUCUUCGAAAAUAAAUACUUUGAUGCAUCUUGUUUUAGUACUACUGUGUUAUGGUUAGAGGGGGUAACUCCCACCCUCUCUGCAAAAAUGAGUACUCUGAUGCAUCUUUUAAUACUACUACUGUAAUAUGGUCAGAGGGGGCGGGAUACGCCCUUUUCUCGUGUCUUUGUGUACAUCACUACUUAUAGUUUUAAA